GCUGGGUAUGAUGGCAUAUGCCUGUAAUCCCAGCAGCUUCGGAGGCUGAGGCAGGAGGAUAGUCAGUUCAAAGCCAGCCUCAGAAACUUAAUGAGGCCCUCAGAAACUCAACAAGACCCUGUCUCAA
rnacentral:sRNA from 1 species